UACCAGCUCUCCGAGUGGUAGGGAUGAUUAUUGGGCUUAAAGCGUCCGUAGCCGGCUUAGCAAGUCUCCUGUUAAACUCAGCGACCUAAUCGUUGAUCCGCGGGAGAUACUACUAGGCUAGGAGGCGGGAGAGGUCGACGGUACUUCCGGGGUAGGGGUGAAAUCCUAUAAUCCCGGGAGGACCACCAGUGGCGAAGGCUGUCGACUAGAACGCGCUCGACGGUGAGGGACGAAAGCUGGGGGGAGCGAACCGGAUUAGAUACCCGGGUAGUCCCAGCUGUAAACGAUGCGGGCUAGGUGUUGGGGUGGCUACGUGCCACUUCAGUGCCGCAGGGAAGCCAUUAAGCCCGCCGCCUGGGGAUUACGGCCGCAAGGCUGAAACUUAAAGGAAUUGGCGGGGGAGCACCACAAGGCGUGAAGCUUGCGGUUC
rnacentral:rRNA from 1 species